UGGGGAAUAUUGCACAAUGGGGGAAACCCUGAUGCAGCGACGCCGCGUGAAGGAAGAAGUAUUUCGGUAUGUAAACUUCUAUCAGCAGGGAAGAAAAUGACGGUACCUGACUAAGAAGCCCCGGCUAACUACGUGCCAGCAGCCGCGGUAAUACGUAGGGGGCAAGCGUUAUCCGGAUUUACUGGGUGUAAAGGGAGCGUAGGCGGUGAUGCAAGUCAGAAGUGAAAGCCCGCAGCUCAACUGCGGGACUGCUUUUGAAACUGUAUGACUAGAUUGCAGGAGAGGUAAGUGGAAUUCCUAGUG
rnacentral:rRNA from 1 species